GGCCUCGUAGCUCAGUUGGCUAGAGCAUUGGUUGUACUAAAGCCUUCCCCUUGCUGGCGUGGGUUUGGAUCCCACCGAGGCCA
rnacentral:tRNA from 1 species